AUCAUAUUUCUUGAAACGCGUCGUUUGUUCUCUGUCUUCGUUCUCCUCGAGCUCUGUCGUUGCUUCCGAGUUCUUGAAAUUUUCUUUACGGAACUUUGUAUGCUCCCUCAAAGAAAAUAGGAAUCAGUGCCAUUUAAUACGCGAGAGGACCACUCUCAGCCACUCCUUGUCGCCUCUCUGCUUUGUCUCCGAGAAAAGUGGGAGCCGCUUCGGAAGGGUAAAACCUUAAUAUCAUGUGAAUUCUUCCUUGAUUUCUGGAGAUCUUUGUCUAUUUUCAUGUUUUCUUCGUUUAUCUGGUUGCUGAUCGUGUAUCUGACCGGGUUGAUCGGGUCCUGUGUCUUCCAUUUCGCUAUUUUCGAGUCGCUUUAAAGAUAUUUUCAAGUGUGUUCUCUACUAAAUUAUGGAUCGAUGUGAUCUUUGAUUAAGCAAUCCGUUAGACAGAUAUCUGUUCUUGUUUCCAGAUCGGUAUCAUUCUUGUCUUUUUCGUGUUCAUUUUCUGAUCGAUCUAGCGCUGGGAAUCUUGUUUUAGAGACGGAUAUGGUGGGUAUAAGGGUUGGUUGUUUGUCAUGAAAACUGUUAGAUCAGGUAGAUCUGCAAUGGUUUUAGGGGUGGCCUUGUUCUAUAUGCUUGAUUUUCUUUACGGACCUUUGUAUGCAUCCUAAGAAAAAAGAGGAAUCACUGCCAUUUAAUACGCGAGAGGACCUCUCUGUCAUCCCGUUCUUGCGUUUCUGUCGCCUCUCUCCUUUGUCUCCGAGAAAUGAGGGUGUCGCUUCGGAAGGGUAAAACCUUAAUCUCAUAUGAAUUCUUCCUUGAUUUAUGGAGAUCUUUGUCUAUUUUCAUGUUUUCUUCGUUUAUCUGGUUGCUGAUCGUGUACCUGAGCGGAUCGAUUGAGUCCUGUGUCUAUCAUUUCGCUAUUUUCGAGUCGAUUUGAAGACAUUUAGAAGUGUGUUCUCUACUAAAUUAUGGAUCGGUGUGUCUUUGAUCAAGCAAUCCGUUAGACAGAUAUCUGUUCUUGUUUUCAGAUCGGUAUCAUUCUCUUCUUUUUCGUGUUUAUUUUUUGAUUGAUCUAGCGCUGGGAAUCUUGUUUUAGAGACGGAUAUGGUGGGUAUAAGCUUUGGUUGUUUGUAGUGGAAACCGUUAGAUCAGGUAGAUCUGCAACGGUUUUAGGGGCGGCCUUGUUCUUGAUGCUUGAUUUAGUAUAUUAAUCGCAUCUGAUGUCCUUUUUUAUAAGGACUGUAGGCUGUUUCAUGGUUCUUGUUUGCAAAUUUGGUCCCUGAUAGCUUUCGAGGUGGUAGACAUCUCAGAUUAGCUUGGGGAUUUUAGACCUUGGAGCUUGUAGCUUCUCUAAUCAGAUACGUUUAUUGAUCUAUGACUUGCAGUUUUUUAUGUGGCUAAAUUUAUAGUACAUAGUUUAUAUAUAUGUUUGCUCUCUUUUAUGGAGUUAUUUAAACUAUUCCAUUGGAAUCGUCUGUUUUAUUUAUAGAAACCCAUGGUGGUAAGGUUUAUGAUCUAUUAAGCUCUGUAUUUUGUGUGAUGAAGCUUUAAGGUUAUUUUGACCGUUGAAAUUGUUAACUGUUGUAUUUUAUAUUCUUGGUCAUCUGCAAUUCUUCAUGAUGAGGUAUUCAAUUUGGUAAAUGUUUCAUUUGUUUGUGGUUGUUUGCUUUCAUCUUUUCUUGUAUUGAUUAUUUAUUGUAUUUUUUGUGAUUCUUUGUAGCACAAAUGUCUGCACAUUUUCUUUAUAUAAAAGUACCAGCCUUGUAGGUUUUUCUCAUAAAAAUUGUUCAGUUUUGCAAUUCUCAUGACAUAUCCCAAUUAUCACAUUUUUUAAUUCUCAUAAUCUUAAACAUUAAUGCCUCUUUUUUAGUCUAUUUUUAGUUAAUUAUGGUAUGGUCAGACAAAACUACUUGUAUACAGUUAAUCUAUUUUUUAGUCUAUUUGUAGUCUAUUUUUUAGUCUAUUUUUAGUCUGUUGGUCAAACAAAACAUUAAUGCCUCUUUUUUAGUCUAUUUUUAAUCUAUUUUUCAUGGACGAGGCGGAGGUGAGUUUUCUCUUGUUGCAUCGGUCUUCGAUGAUGAUUGCAUGCUUUUGCUUGCUUCCAUCCUUAUUGUCAUCGUUCCAUCAUAAGUUCUUGAUCCUUGGUCCAAAGAUGGUUCGGUACAGGGAUUCUUUGUGAAAGAUUCUUAUGGUCUAUUUCAUGACCACCCCUUCCUCGAUGGUGGCAAAAACCUAGCCGUAGACACCAUCAUCAGCUUAGCUUCCUUGGUAGAGGCUAAAAACGAAGGUGGCGAUCAACAAGGAGGGUUUUCUAUAGUUGCAUCGAUGGUGAUCUCUUGCUUUUGCUUGUUUCCUACCCUAUGGUGGCCAUUCUAUCGCAAAUUCUUGAUCCUUGGUGCAGAGAAGUGUCGGUACAAGGAUCCUUCUGAAUCGAUUCGUUUGGUCACAGAUUUUCAUAGCAAGCUCUGCUGCUGCCUAGCUUACAAUGAAGAUGGCAAUUGAUGAGGAGGUUUUUUUCUCUCAUUAGGCCGGUGAUGCUUUGUCUUUCUUCCAGCCCUAUCAUUGCUGUUUGAUCACAGAUUCUUGAUCUCUUGGUCCAGAGGAAAAGAGUCAGUAGGUUGGUUCUUUGGGAUAUGGAGUGUUCAUUUGCCACAUGAUGGAUUUCUGCCCAUUGGCAAGGAAACCUUCUGUCAAUGGCAUAAUUGCAUUGAUAAAGGAACCUGAGGUGGAGUAGAUUAUUUGGUCAUAGUGUGUUGCUAUGAUCGUGCUGUUUGUGCUUCUUAUGGAUGUAGAAGAGAUAAUUGGAUUGGUUGCCAAUAAGUGGCUGAGAAAGUUUAUUCAUUAGUGUUUGAUAAAUCCAGCUAAUCUGUUUGUAAUACUAUGAUCAGCUUAGUGAGUGUGGGAAGUUCUUUAUGGCAAGCUAAGGAGGGCACCGACCACAGCCAGUAAAUCAAUGUGAUAUUUAUUCAGGAUCAAAUGACAAGGAUGAGCUCUGGUAUUUAUUAGCAUCAAUGUCAUCAUGGAAGGUGCCAUCUUUUAUUACAAUAUGCAGAUCAAAUGACAAGGAUGAGCUCUGGUAUUUAUUAGCAUCAAUGUCAUCAUGGAAGGUGGCAUCUUUUAUUACAAUAUGCAGUUAUCACAAAAGAUAUCUAGAGGGAUCUCUCGAAUUGCUACUCCUCUCACCAAACUAACCCAAAGGAAUGUGACAUUUGAAUUGGGUGAAGAUUUUGAGCGAAGUUUUCAAGAGUUACAAUUUAGAUUGACUGGUGCCCUGUUAUCUCUAUUUCAAAUGGUAGAUAAAGAUUUGUACGUUAAACAGGUAUUUUGAGAAAGGACCUUAAUUGUAUUUUGAUGAAA